GUGCCAGCAGCCGCGGUAAUACGGGGGGGGCAAGCGUUGUUCGGAAUUACUGGGCGUAAAGGGCUCGUAGGCGGCCAACUAAGUCAGACGUGAAAUCCCCAGGCUCAACCUGGGAACUGCGUCUGAUACUGGACGGCUCGAGUUUGGGAGAGGGAUGUGGAAUUCCAGGUGUAGCGGUGAAAUGCGUAGAUAUCUGGAGGAACACCGGUGGCGAAGGCGGCAUCCUGGACCAACACUGACGCUGAGGCGCGAAAGCUAGGGGAGCAAACGGGAUUAGAUACCCCGGUAGUCCUAGCCCUAAACGAUGAAUGCUUGGUGUGGCGGGUAUCGAUCCCUGCCGUGCCGAAGCUAACGCAUUAAGCAUUCCGCCUGGGGAGUACGGCCGCAAGGCUAAAACUCAAAUGAAUUGACGGGA
rnacentral:rRNA from 1 species